rnacentral:misc_RNA from 1 species
AACACCUCAAAGCUUUUGGAUUUUUUAAUCGAAAAGCUUUGGACUUGAGCAAUCCCAACACCAAUCUUUUUGAGAUCGGUGGCGGGUUGCUUGAAAUGCAACGAUUCUUGUUAA